rnacentral:rRNA from 1 species
GGUGAACCUGCGGAAGGAUCAUUGUCGAGACCUGCCCAGCAGAAGGACCGGCGAAC